rnacentral:lncRNA from 12 species
AGGGUAGUACGUGCCUGUACUCAUUGGGCACAGCACAGAGCUGUGCAGCUAGUUCACGUCCAACGUUUUCUGAAACCCCACCUUUUCAUGAGCCUCUCAUUAGCCUCAGGUGGCAAAAGAAAGACAGAUGUGAACAAUCAUAUUUCCGUUCAGUAAGUUCUUCAGGGAAUUUACAGUGUUUUUCCUCAGUUUCAUUGAUUGUGCAGUUCUGGUUCCUUAGGAAAUCUUGUGAUUUAUCCCUGCCUCUUGGCAACUUCUUAUAAACAAACUGCAAUCCCAUCAAAAAAUAUUGAUGGAAUGAUUUCAGUCCAGACCUUCAGAUCAGGCUCUGAUAUAAACUCUGUGCUUUAUUCCAGCCUGCUUUUUUAUUGCCUAAUGAAUAGAAUUUGCUUUGGGAAGACACAGACUGUCAUACUUUGAUUUGAUUUCAAGAAUUCUGAAGCAUUUUCAGUGCUGGCCCAGGGAGUUUUACUAUUCUCUGAGUCAUGCUUUGGAAAAGGAGCUCUGUGGAUACAUUUUGUAAAGCAUUUUUAAAGCUUUCAGGCUAUCAUCAAUGAAAAGCUAAAAUUGAGAAUAAUGCAAGCUUGGUUUUCAUCUCAUUCCAUUGACCAAAGGCUUGUUUGAAGAUUACCAUCUGACUGACUGAGAUAAAAACACAUUAAUUGUCCCCAAACUAAGAUUGAGUCCAGCCCCGCAAAUCUGGCAGCCGCAUCUGGAAAGAGAGUAUGAGUCUGCUUUGUGUCUUUCUCAGUCGUCACGUGCCACAUUUCUAGGCAAAGGAGAAGAGUUGCCUGGAAAAUGUGACUCUCCCCCUAGAGGUCUGAGGGGAGCCUAGGGUCUCCCUUUUCCCGUCAUCCUUUGCUCUUUUGGGUCUUUGGACAACCCUCGGCUGGCUGUGACUUGGGCUCCAGCCCUUCCCGAGCAAAGGCAUUUUCAGUAAAUACUGGCUUGGCAGGAAAACGACACCCGGGUCACAGGCAGGCCAUUCUGGGCAGCUCCCGUCACAGGCCCCGGCUCUCAGGCCUCGACUCCUCCUCCUCCCGACUGCCCACCGGUGCUGCCUCCCUUGCCGCUCACGCGCAGCUCCUUAGCAGACCAUGAUUGCACCCAAAGCACAGUUAUUUUGUAACCUCAGCCAGUGGUUCCCAGCUCUCUUCUGCCCUAGGAUUCAUGCUUGCACUCUGUUCCCGGGUCAGAUUCCAGGCCUUCAGCGUCUUUAAGACAGAGGUAAGCGCCAGCCUGGGUGCCUGCUGGGUUGGGACCUUAGGGCCACAGCUCCCGUAGUCCCUUUAUAUUCAGAUGAAUGUUUGUGCAUCUCAUCUACCAGCCCUAUUUGGUAGAGGCCAGAGGAGUUAAAGAACCCAGGCACCCUCUCCUCUUUAAUCAGCAAAAGUAUUUGAUAAAAACCAAGCAAGCUCUCAAGGUCUCCCUCCUGCUUAAGUAAGUAGCAAAACAGAACACCCCAGCCCUCUAUUCCGGGCUACAGGUAGGCGUGGAGGUCUCCAUCCUGACCAGCUGCCUGUCCAUUUAGUACGCCUGGUAACUGAAGGAGAAUUUUUUUCUUUUGGUCUCUCCAUUCAAGCCACUACUCACAUCUUUCUUUCUCUUUGAAGUGUUUUCAUAUUUCUUCUCCUCUUCACUAUUCAGCUACCUUCCUUCUGACCCUCUUCACACUGCCCAAAGCAUGUACCUCAUGGG